rnacentral:rRNA from 1 species
AUACGGAGGUUGCAAGCGUUACUCGGAAUCACUGGGCGUAAAGCGCGCGCAGGCGGCUAUUUAAGUUGGAUGUGAAAGCCUACGGCUCAACCGUAGAACUGCAUCCAAAACUAUUUAGCUAGAGUGUGGGAGAGGAAGAUGGAAUUAGUUGUGUAGGGGUAAAAUCCGUAGAGAUAACUAGGAAUACCAAAAGCGAAGGCAAUCUUCUGGAACACUACUGACGCUGAGGCGUGAAAGCGUGGGGAGCAAACAGGAGUAGAUACCCUAGUAGUCC